UGGACUCGACGAGUCCAGAUAUGGACUCGGCGAGUCGACGCUGUUCAGCGGAAAACCCUAGCCGUUCGGUUUGGGAAGUAUUUAAGGGAUCUUAUGCCUCCAUUGUUCGCCUUUUGGCCGACUGAGAAGGACCCUUAAUCGUUGUGGACGUCUAGGGCAGGAGAGGGAGCUUUUAGAACCUUGAAGAAUUUGUUAAGCAAGAAGAAGAAGAGUUUUGGCCAAAGGAAUAUCAAGGGGAUCGAGUUCUGAGGUUUGGAGACACAGAGAGGGUGUUAUUCAGGUAAUAUUUCGAAUUAUCCUCUGCUAUGUUGAUGUGUUAUGGAAUUAGGGUUUAUGAAACCCAUUUGGUGAUUUGAUGGAUUAUUAUGUUGUUAUACAAAAGUUUAUACCCUAGUAAUAGGAUGAUUAGAGGUCCAGAAGUCCCAUUGGUGUGUUUUUCGGGAAUAAACGUAUCUCAGGAAGCAGUUGGAUCGACUGCAUGGCGUGGACUCGCCGAGUCGGAUGAUCAGACUCGGCGAGUAGCUUGAAGAUUCACUGGGACUCGCCGAGUUGUUCUUCAGACUCGGCGAGUGGAGUCGGGGUGGCCCCGCGAUUCUUCCAGGAGUGACUCGUCGAGUCAAAGAGGAUACUCGACGAGUAGAAGGGGAAUCUCAGAGGACUAAAGGACGACCAGACUCGCCGAGUCGCCAGGGAACUCGCCGAGUCCAGUCGAGCUGACAUUGGACUGUUGACCAGAGUUGACUGGUGUGAUUCUUAGGGUCAGUUAACGUGGAAGAUAGAAGUAUUAAAUAAGGGAUAUAUGAUGUUACAGGGAGCUUGUAGCUCGGAGGAUCAAGUGCAAGGGAUUUUAGGAGUUGCUAUCUUCUAGUGUCCGCGAGGUGAGUCUUCUCACUAUACCUCACCCGGAAGGGUUUGAUUGUGUGACCGGAAGGUCAAGUAUGUUGUGUGUUAUGUUUAUAUGCUAUGAAUGGAAAGUUAGCUGCUACGCGUGAUAUACAUGCUUAUAUAUGGGCCGGAAGGCAAGGUAUUAUGUGACAGAAAGGUCAGGUAUGAUAUGUGAUAUAUGUGCUUUAUGUGUUAGAGUAUUUGUAUUAUGUGUUAUAUAUGUGUAUGGGCCGGAAGGCGAUUAUCUUGUGGACCGAAAGGUCCGGGCCGGAAGGCAAUGUUAUGUGGAUCGAAAGAUCCGGGCCGGAAGGCGAUGUUAUGUGGAUCGAAAGAUCCGGGCCGGAAGGCAAUGUUAUGUGGAUCGAAAGAUCCGGGCCGGAAGGCGAUAUUAUGUGGAUCGAAAGAUCCGGGCCGGAAGGCGUAUGUGCGUAAGGUAUAUUGGGGAACUCACUAAGCUUCGUGCUUACGUUGUUUAUGUUAUGUUGUUUCAGGUUCUUACAGUAACGCGGGAUGGCAACGGUUCGAUUGUACACACCGAAGAAAGAGUUGUGUUUUGGAGGAUCCUGGUCUUCUAUUAUAAUGAAAAUGAAACUAUGUUUUGUAAUUCGAAUGUGAAUACGAUUUUAAACAAGUGUUUUUAAUAUUAAAUUGAUUAUUUAAAUAAAAAUUUUGUUUUUGGAAAUCUUGGUGUUACAAAUUGGUAUCAGAGCCUUGGUUUGAGGGAUUCGGACGCGCCUACGGGUAAAUCUGGACUCAAACUGAGGAAGUAAGAAAAAGUUUUCCAAAUAAAUGGUUUUCUAAAAGUGAAUAAGAGUUCAAAGAGAAAGCAAGAAAGAGCAGUGUGUACAAUCAGCCAGAGCCAAACGGUGAUUUCCCAAAAUACCCUUACUUUUGUAUUAUGAAAUAUCUAUUAUGCACUUUAUGAGACAUUAUUGCAUGCUAGAGACAGGCUAGGUAUUUCACAUCUUAGGACUAGAGUGGCCUGAUUUGUGAUGCCUUAGUCUAGGGUUUGCUGUUAUAUGUGCGUUAUGCUUUUGUGUGUAUGUGAUGAGUGAGAGUAUCUAGUUAGAACGCACAAGGGGUAAAGCUACGGGGUACAGAGGUACUUCCGAGGAUGAGCCGAGAAGGUGGAGCUACCACAGAUGGGGAGUCCUAUGUAUGCUUCAAUGCUCGAAUGCUGCUUGCUUUGUGCUUUGUGGAGUUAUCGAUGAUGGGAGUCAGCUACUAAGUGAGUAUGACGAUACUCAGGAGGUAGAGGGCUGGCAUCAUUAGGAACUCUUCAGCAGCUGAUAGCAAAGAAGUGGGAGGACAGCGGAAGGGACUAGGGAGUAAACCUAGCCAGAUGAGUGCGCUGGUAGAGUAGAGGAUUUCGCUGGAAAGCGAGCACGCGCGAUGAGAUGGGUGAAAGAGCAGGUUUAUCAGCUACUUAGGAACUCUGGGAUGGUCCGUGUGGAAAGUAUGGGUAGAUGUGGCAGGUAGUAUGGGCCCGUACUACUGAAAGCAGAGGACCCAUACUUGAUACAGGGGGCAUUCUGAAGGUCCUAAGGAACAGAUUGAGGGGUGAUGUUAUGGUUCGGAUACCAUACAUCGGAGCGGAUACAGAGUGAUGUUAUGGUCAGGGCACCAUACAUCGGAACAGAUUGAGAUAGAUGUUGUGGUUCGAGUGCUAUACAUUGGAGCAGAUUGAGGAGUGGUGCUAUGGUUCAGGUACCAUACACCGAAGCAUGUUGAGGAGGGAUGUCAUGGGAUGAGUACCAUGGUUCGUAGUGGAUGAUGCUUGUGGCUAUCUUGUUAUCCGGUUAUCGAUCGGACGAGCACGAGCGAGCGGGAUGCGAGGAUUCGCGAGAUCCGGCGUGAUGAGGUUGCUGCAUUGUUGCGGGUUGAGUCGCCAGAAUUGUUUGGGUCGAUCAGGACCACUAUGAUUGAAGUAGUUUGAUGAGCGAUAUGCGGCUUUCGCAGAGACGGCUGCCGCGGCGGUUACAGCGGCUGUAGCAACGGCAAAGAAAGGGGCUAGUCGGGGUUUUCAGUAUCGGGACUUCUAUUAUGCGAAGCCUCCCACAUUCGAUGGAGUUCAGGACUCGAUUGUUGCUAUGAGAUGGUUAUCAGACAUGGAGGGGUGUUUCUCCACGAGUUUAUGCCCUGCUGAUCAGAGGGUGGGGUGUGCUCUGAACCUAUUGAGGCUCGGGGCGAAGGAUUGGUGGAGAUUGACCACGAGGUCAUUUUCCGAUGCGCAGAGGGCUGCGGUUUCAUGGGAUCAAUUCAGAGGGAUGUUCAGUACUCGCUAUGUUCCGCGGGAUGAAAAGGAGAGAUUGGCUCGGAAGUUCUUUAAGCUGAGGCAGGAUUUGGAGUCGGUGACUGAGAGCACCGGGAUGUUUAUUGAGAGGGCGAUGUUUUGCCCUGAGUUCGCUUCGGAGCAGGCUCAGAUGUCCCGAUAUCCGAGUAUGCUCAAGGGGGGGGAUCAGACAGUUCGUGUCUGCGCAGAGGCGCGAGACCGUGUUGGUAUCGCAGGAGGCCGCCAUGUGGCGUGAGUUAGAGGUUGAGUUGCAGUAGCGUGAGAUGAGGCAGGCCCCGAUGCAGUCGCAGUCGGCGCCGAAACGGUCCAUGACCGUAGACGUUAGAAUGGGGGAUCGGAGCGGUCACACUUGUGGGAAGUGUGAGAGAGAUGGCACCGGAGCUUGUUGGCCCAGUGGUGCAUGCCGCAAGUGCGGAAAGGAGGGGCAUGGUGCACGGGAUUGUCGGCAGUCAGUGCCAAUUCGGGAUUCCAGGAUUUGUUAUCAGUGUCGGCAGGUUGGACAUUUGAGGGUCAACUGUCCACAGCUUUUGCAGGAUCGGUGCAGGCUCUAGCACCGGCCACCUUGAGGAGUUCAGGAGGAGGACAGGAUGGAGUAGAGCCCAAGGGCUCAGGGUUGUGCUUAUCGGCUUGCGGCAGAGGGAGACGGAGCAGUGCCGGAGGCAGCUGCGGGUAUGAUGCUGUCUUGAUGUCUUGAGUAGCUUGCGUUGAUUGUGGCGUAUUGUUUGUGCUGGUGUCUGGUGUGGAUUUCGAUGCGGUAUUCGUUGUUUCGCGGGUUUGGCAUGGUUAUGGAUUGGUGCUUCAGGUUUUCGCUUGGCAUUCGUUGUUCCCUGAUGGUUUAGUAUGAUUAUAGUUUGGUGUUUUGGUACCGGUAGCCUUGUGCGGUUUUCGAUGCGAUAUUCAACCUUUGGCAGGUUGUGGGUUUGGUUAUGGGUUAUUGCUUGGGAAUUCCGUUGGUCAUCGUUCGUGAGGGUUGAUAGUGGAGAUGCGGCACUGGGUUGAAUGACGGGUAGCAUCUGCAGUUGUGGAGUGGAUAAUUGAAAGAUCGGAUUCUUUUGAGCGGAUUGAUCAGGGAGGAGAUGUGUUUUGCUGAGGGUUGCUUACGCUUGUGGGAAGCAGUCAGUGGGUAAAUGUUCUCUUUGUGCAGGAUGGUUCUGAAAGGUCGUUAAUGACGAUCGGUGGCAGUUAGUCAGUGCUUUAGUGGGGGAGAAUUAGAAAAUUCUCCGGGAGAUCGAUGAGUAUGUAAGGGUGCUUAGCUGUUGGGAUUCAGCAGUGUUUGUCAGCGCAAAGUAUAGGCCGACGAGAGCGAGUGUUGAGUAUGCGGGGCGAGAUACAGACCUAGGGCAUUUGAUUGUGGAGGCCUGAGAGGAGGUCGGGAUCAAGCUUGAGUAAGUAAUCGGAAUUUUGCGAUCAGAGUAUUGGUACGUUUGAGGUACGUGAUGGGUUGUACUGCAUUAAUCCCACGGGAUUAUGUUGUGCAUGUUUCUAGAGCUGGAACCGGAAGGUUCCCAGAGUUAGAACCUGAGGGUUCGCAGAGUUUGGGUGUACGGACCCACAGAGAUAUAGCCUCGAGUGGCUAGUAUGUGUUAUGAGAGUCGGUCCAGUCAUACUGGAGACUCUGUUGGUAUUGCUGGAUUAGUUUGAGAUUUGCGGAUCGCGUAUGUUGCAGUGUGAUUGCAUUGGAAGGUCUGGCCCCGGGUUAUUGAUCUUGUUUAGCGGAGGCAGUGAUUUUGAUGAGUGGAGAGAGUGCAUGGGAUUGAGAGCCCCUGCAAUGAGAACCAGAGUAUGUGAAUAGCAGUUACGCAAAAAGGGUGGUGUCGCUUGGGGCGAGCACCGUGGCACCGGUUGGAGUGGCAUUAUGUUCAAGAGAGUUCCGUGGAAAAGGAAAAGAGGAGGGUAUGUAACUCCGAAGGGGGUGCAAGUUCACGAAAGUGAAAGCUGCAGAGCAGAGUUAUGGUUAGAGUAUUUCGAGUAUGGUUUUGAGCAUCGUGUUCGCGGCAGUGGAGUAGGAACCCAUCCGGUUGGGAUGUCUGUUGAGGCUCAGAAGGGAUGCAUGGAGAGAGAAAAUUUUAAAUUCUCAGUGUGAAUCUGAUCAGAGUGUAGGGUGGAUGUAGUGGUUCAUCUUGGGAGAUGUUCGAGGAUAUCAUCAGUGUAUCGGGUCUUUCCACCUGCGGGUGUUGGGACUAGUUCAGUAUGUGUAUGUGAUGGCAAGAGGGAACUUGUGAGAGUUGAUCUGAGAGGGAGAACGGAUCUCUCAGUCGGUCCGGAAUGGGCAAAGUGGGCUUUGGAUCGGGGAUCCGGUGGUUCAGGGUUUCCUAACCCUUAUGGGUUGAGUGAUCGUUGAGAUUUGGAGCAGAGUGCAUCUUGGGUAAUUUCCGAUUACAGAGAGUGAUGAGCAGUUCAGAGUUCGUACUUUAGUUGACAAAGCAGACUCAGCAGGUUAAAGAGAGUUAGUGAUCGUCUAGAGUUAACAGGAAAGUUAUGCAGGCAGACGCCGUUACGAGCAUGUGAUUCAGGUCAGCGACUUCGUAUUUCUGACGGGGUGCUUCGAUUUAGGAAGAGGGGUAAAUGGGGGGCCCCGGUAUGUUGGGUCUUUUCGUGAAGGUGCGAAGGUAGGAAGGGUGGCCUAUCGUUUGGAGCUGUCAACGGAAUUGGGACGGAUCCAUGACACUGGUAUGUGUCGCAGUUGAAGAGGUGUAUAGCGGAUGAGUCAGCAGUGGUUCUACUAGAGAACGAUUAGGUGGAUGCGAGCCUGUGUUACGUCGAGAGGCCAGUGGCCGUCGGAGAUCGGAAGAUCAAGGUUCUGAGGAACAAGGAGGUACCUCUGGUAUUGGUUCAGUAGCGGCCUCGGGAGAGAUCGGUAGUGUCUAGGGAAGCCGAAACGUGUGAUGCGGGAGCAGCAUCCAGAACUAUUUUCAGAGUGAGACUUCGAGGGCGAAGUCUAAUUCUAGUGGGGGAGAAUUGUAACAGCCCAAAAUCUCAAGUAUUGUUAAAUUGCAUUUUGGGGUGUUUUAAAGGGGAGACUCGGCGAGUUGGAGCCAGACUCGCCGAGUAGGGUCGCAGAUUUGGUCGCGGGUUCGCGACUGGACUCGACGAGUCCAGGUAUGGACUCGGCGAGUCGACGCUGUUCAGCAGAAACCCUAGCCGUUUCGUAUGGGGUCGUAUAAAAGGGUUGUUAUGUCGUCAUUUCACGUCUUUUGGCCGAUUGUGGAGAACCCUAAACGACUGUGGCAUCUAGAGCAAACUUGAAGGCCAUUAUUGACUUUGAAGGAAUUGUGGUGCAAGAAGAGGAAGGAUUUUGGCCAAAGGAAGAGCAAGGGGGUCGAGUUCUGAGGUUUGGGGACACAGAGAGUACGUUUUCAGGUUAUGUUUCGGAUCAUUCCUGUUAUUUUGAUGUGUACACGAAUUUAGGGUUUAUGAAACCCAUUUGGGGAUUUGAUGGAUUAUUAUGUUGUUAUACAAAGGUUUCUACCCUAGUAAUAGGAUGAUUAGAGGUCCAGAAGUCCCAUGAGUGUGUAUCUCGGGAAAAACGUAUCUCAGGAAGCAGUUGGAUCGACUGCAUGGCGUGGACUCGCCGAGUCGGAUGAUCAGACUCGGCGAGUAGCUUGAAGAUUCACUGGGACUCGCCGAGUUGUUCUUCAGACUCGGCGAGUGGAGUCGGGGUGGCCCCGCGAUUCUUCCAGGAGUGACUCGUCGAGUCAAAGAGGAUACUCGACGAGUAGAAGGGGAAUCUUAGAGGAUUGAAGGACGACCAGACUCGCCGAGUCGCCAGGGAACUCGCCGAGUCCAGUCGAGCUGACAAUGGACUGUUGACCAGAGUUGACUGGUGUGAUUUCUUAGGGUCAGUUAACGUGGAAGAUAGAAGUAUUAAAAAGGGAUAUAUGAUGUUACAGGGAGCUUGUAGCUCGGAGGAUCAAGUGCAAGGGAUUUUAGGAGUUGCUAUCUUCUAGUGUCCGCGAGGUGAGUCUUCUCACUAUACUUCACCCGGAAGGGUUUGAUUGU
rnacentral:lncRNA from 1 species